GACGAACGCUGGCGGCGUGCUUAACACAUGCAAGUCGAACGGAAAGGCCCUGCUUUUGUGGGGUGCUCGAGUGGCGAACGGGUGAGUAACACGUGAGUAACCUGCCCUUGACUUUGGGAUAACUUCAGGAAACUGGGGCUAAUACCGGAUAGGAGCUCCUGCUGCAUGGUGGGGGUUGGAAAGUUUCGGCGGUUGGGGAUGGACUCGCGGCUUAUCAGCUUGUUGGUGGGGUAGUGGCUUACCAAGGCUUUGACGGGUAGCCGGCCUGAGAGGGUGACCGGCCACAUUGGGACUGAGAUACGGCCCAGACUCCUACGGGAGGCAGCAGUGGGGAAUAUUGCACAAUGGGCGGAAGCCUGAUGCAGCAACGCCGCGUGCGGGAUGACGGCCUUCGGGUGGUAAACCGCUUUCGCCUGUGACGAAGCGUGAGGGACGGUAAUGGGUAAAGAAACACCGGCGAACUACGU
rnacentral:rRNA from 1 species